AGAGUUUGAUCCUGGCUCAGAAUCAACGCUGGCGGCGCGCUUAACACAUGCAAGUCGAGCGAGAAAGUGGAGCAAUCCAUGAGUAAAGCGGCGCACGGGUGAGUAACACGUGGAUGAUCUACCUUCUGGUGGGGAAUAACCUGGGGAAACCUGGGCUAAUACCGCAUAAGUCCGAGAGGAGAAAGCCGAAAGGCGUCAGAAGAGGAGUCCGCGGCCGAUUAGCUAGUUGGUGAGGUAAGAGCUCACCAAGGCGACGAUCGGUAGCCGGCCUGAGAGGGCACACGGCCACACUGGCACUGAAACACGGGCCAGACUCCUACGGGAGGCAGCAGUGGGGAAUCUUGCACAAUGGGGGAAACCCUGAUGCAGCGACGCCGCGUGAACGAUGAAGCCCUUCGGGGUGUAAAGUUCUUUCGGCAGGGACGAUUAUGACUGUACCUGCAGAAGCAGCUGCGGCUAACUACGUGCCAGCAGCCGCGGUAAUACGUAGGCAGCAAGCGUUGUUCGGAAUUACUGGGCGUAAAGAGUGCGUAGGUGGUUGACUAAGUUUGGUGUGAAAUCUCCCGGCUUAACUGGGAGGGUGCGCCGAANACUGGUUGGCUAGAGUGUGGGAGAGGGAAGCGGAAUUCCAGGUGUAGCGGUGAAAUGCGUAGAUAUCUGGAGGAACGCCUGCGGUGUAGNCGGCUUCCUGGACCAUGACUGACACUGAGGCACGAAAGCGUGGGUAGCAAACAGGAUUAGAUACCCUGGUAGUC
rnacentral:rRNA from 1 species